rnacentral:rRNA from 1 species
UACGAAGGGUGCAAGCGUUAAUCGGAAUUACUGGGCGUAAAGCGCGCGUAGGUGGUUCAGUAAGUUGGAAGUGAAAACCCCGGGCUCAACCUGGGAACUGCUUUCAAAACUGCUGAGCUAGAGUACGGUAGAGGGUGGUGGAAUUUCCUGUGUAGCGGUGAAAUGCGUAGAUAUAGGAAGGAACACCAGUGGCGAAGGCGACCACCUGGACUGAUACUGACACUGAGGUGCGAAAGCGUGGGGAGCAAACAGG